UUUAGUACUGAAACACUUCAAAUUGUGUUUCUCAGUUACUAAAGACUCAGGAAAAGAGAAGGAAACACUGAGUCCAGACCAGGGAGACAGUCAUCAGAGGUAGAGAGACAGACAGGGCAGCAGACUAGGCUGCUAAUACCGCCAGCGAGAGAUUUUUGGGUAUAGUGAGUAUACCACAUGUGGCAUUUUGUACUGUAAUGUAUGACACUGUAUGUACAUAUUGUUUUUGGUUUUGAGCAGUUGUAAAUUCAAAUUGUACCUUGAAGUUGUAAAAUAAUUAUGAGCUGUUUCGACUUGUAAAAGCUGUAUUAUAUUUCCUUAUCUCAGACUUUGAAAAAUUUCUAUGAAAUUGAGUUGAUAAA